CGCGGAAUAGAACAGUGGCAGUUCGAUGGGUUCAUGCCCCAUAUGUCGGAAGUUCGAUUCUUCCUUCCGCAACCA
rnacentral:tRNA from 1 species